rnacentral:rRNA from 1 species
UACGUAGGGGGCUAGCGUUGUCCGGAAUCAUUGGGCGUAAAGAGCGUGUAGGCGGUCCGGUAAGUCCGCUGUGAAAGUCGGGGGCUCAACCCUCGAAUGCCGGUGGAUACUGUCGGGCUAGAGUGCGGAAGAGGCGAGUGGAAUUCCUGGUGUAGCGGUGAAAUGCGCAGAUAUCAGGAGGAACACCCGUGGCGAAGGCGGCUCUCUGGUACGUGACUGACGCUGAGACGCGAAAGCGUGGGGAGCGAACAGG